rnacentral:misc_RNA from 1 species
GAAAUGCGAUAAGUAGUGUGAAUUGCAGAAUUCAGUGAAUCAUCGAAUCUUUGAACGCACAUUGCGCCCCUUGGUAUUCCAUGGGGCAUGCCUGUUCGAGCGUCAUUUGUACUCUCAAGCUCUGCUUGGUGUUGGGUGCUUGUCCUGUCCCCUGCGGUAGGACUCGCCUAAAAGUAAUUGGCAGCUAGGUAUCCGGUAGUAGAGCGCAGCACAAAUUGCGAUGUACGCCGGCAUAAUCAGCAUCCAUUAAGCAUAUAAACACGCUUGACCUCGGAUCAGGUAGGGAUACCCGCUGAACUUAA